AUAACUAGUUUGUGGCGGCCAAGCAUUCGUAGCGCCGCCACUUUCCGAUCAUGUGAUGUCGGAUCUUCCUCACACUGCGCAGCCGAAUCUACGAAGUGUUGGAUGGUUCACCAGUGCUUCAUAGGGAACGUGAGCUGGGUUUAGACAGCCACGAGACAGGUU
rnacentral:ncRNA from 1 species